UACGUAGGGGGCAAGCGUUGUCCGGAUUUAUUGGGCGCAAAGAGCGUGUAGGCGGCCAAACAGGUCAGCUGUGAAAACUCGAGGCUCAACCUCGAGACGUCGGUUGAAACCGUUUGGCUAGAGUCCGGAAGAGGAGAGUGGAAUUCCUGGUGUAGCGGUGAAAUGCGUAGAUAUCGAGAGGAACACCUGCGGCGAAGGCGGGUUGCUGGGCUGACACUGACGCUGACAGCGCGAAAGCUAGGGGAGCGAACGGG
rnacentral:rRNA from 1 species